rnacentral:tRNA from 1 species
GGCGCUGUUGCUCUGUUGGUGAGGGGCGACCGGAUUUUCACUCCGGGUACGACGCGGGUUCGAUUCCCGUCGGCGCUA